rnacentral:rRNA from 1 species
UACAGAGGGUGCGAGCGUUGUCCGGAAUCACUGGGCGUAAAGGGCGCGUAGGUGGCGGCCCAAGUCCAUGGUGAAAGCUCGAUGCUCAACAUCGAGUCGGCCACGGAUACUGGGUUGCUGGAGCACUGUAGAGGCAGAUGGAAUUCCGGGUGUAGCGGUGGAAUGCGUAGAGAUCCGGAAGAACACCGGUGGCGAAGGCGGUCUGCUGGGCAGUAGCUGACACUGAUGCGCGACAGCGUGGGGAGCAAACAGG